GACGAACGCUGGCGGCGUGCUUAACACAUGCAAGUCGAACGGAAAGGCCCUGCUUGCAGGGUAUUCGAGUGGCGAACGGGUGAGUAACACGUGGGUGAUCUGCCCUGCACUUUGGGAUAAGCCUGGGAAACUGGGUCUAUUACCGGAUAGGAGACAUGUUUAGUGUGAUGGUUGGAAAGAUUUUUCGGUGUAGGAUGAGCUCGCGGCCUAUCAGCUUGUUGGUGGGGUAAUGGCCUACCAAGGCGGCGACGGGUAGCCGGCCUGAGAGGGUGGACGGCCACAUUGGGACUGAGAUACGGCCCAGACUCCUACGGGAGGCAGCAGUGGGGAAUAUUGCACAAUGGGCGCAAGCCUGAUGCAGCGACGCCGCGUGGGGGAUGACGGCCUUCGGGUUGUAAACUCCUUUCGCUAGGGACGAAGCUUUUGUGACGGUACCUAGAGAAGAAGCACCGGCUAACUACGUG
rnacentral:rRNA from 1 species